CCUACGGGUGGCAGCAGUCGAGAAUCUUUCACAAUGGGGGCAACCCUGAUGGAGCGACGCCGCGUGGAGGAUAAGGUCUUCGGAUUGUAAACUCCUGUCAUGCGAGAACUAGUAUCGCAAGAGGAAGAGACGGCUAACUCUGUGCCAGCAGCCGCGGUAAUACAGAGGUCUCAAGCGUUGUUCGGAAUCACUGGGCGUAAAGGGUGUGUAGGCGGCGUGAAAAGUCAGAUGUGAAAUCUGGGGGCUCAACCUUCAAAUAGCAUCCGAUACUGUCAUGCUGGAGGUCUGUAGAGGAGUCUGGAAUUCUCGGUGUAGCAGUGAAAUGCGUAGAGAUCGAGAGGAACACUUGUUGCGAAAGCGAGACUCUGGGCAGAACUGACGCUGAAACACGAAGGCCAGGGUAGCGAACGGGAUUAGAUACCCUUGUAGUC
rnacentral:rRNA from 1 species